rnacentral:tRNA from 1 species
GGCUCGGUGGUGUAGUUGGUUAUCACGUCAGUCUCACAUUCAUGUGCGACACUGAAGGUCCCGAGUUCGAACCUCGGCUGAGUCA